rfam:Lysinibacillus manganicus DSM 26584 contig1, whole genome shotgun sequence.
AAAAGAUGAACUUAGACUAAGAGCGCCACGUCCUGUGGCAACGUCUAAGUGACCAACAUCCUGUUGG